CAUCGACUGCCCUCAACGCCCGCACACAACUAGGCACCGCUAACAGAGGUGCAGCUUGCCUCCAUCACGAGACUCUAAUGCACAGUCCCCCAUGCCUCAUCACCCAUUCAGGAUGGCUAAUACCAGCCUCAGACUUACCGACUACGCCAUGCAACUCUUUGAGACACUGCAAAACCGACGGAACCUGCAGCACUCUGUGGACUGUGGCAUGCAUAGGGACAGAUCUAUCCACGGUGAUUUCAAUUACCAACACUCACCACAACAUGUUAUACCGCUAUUUUAAUUAAGCUCUUCUCUAGCAGCUAGUCUAUGCCAAGAGCUUCAUUUGUAAGCGAUCCCACAUUGAACGCAUGUCUAUUUCCA